GUUACUUUUGUUGAAGGGGAAGGCCUACUGCCUUAGAUAAAUAAGAGAAAAGCAGAAAGCUCCUCACGGCACUGGUUCCCCAACUAGAAAAUGCCAAGUCCUGACUUACACAUCAAGAGGCCCCAGUAUCCCAAGAAAUGUUUGCCAUCACAAUGAAAGCUACGGAGGAGGAGGUUGCAGGCCCUGGCAGCCAUUGGCCAAAGACCGGCUGGGGGAUCCGCAAGGGCUUCCAACUCUCCGAACCGAGCGGGAUUCCUGGCCUUGGCAUAAAGGGCUGAGUGGAUUCAUUCGGGGCGCGAUGCAUUCCAAGAAUGCUUCUGUGGUUGGCAAGGAGUAGGAAAAUCAAGGAUAACAAAUAUUCUAAGGAAAUCUAAUAGGUACCAGGAGCGUAGGACUCAAAUAAACAGGUGACUUAAAGUACGAAGUAACUGGAUCUCAGUGAGGGUGACCGCACACUGCCCAGGGCUGGGGCAUCUCCUUUUUCUCUCCUGGGCUGACACCCGGCCGCCUUUACAGACA
ensembl:lncRNA